AUGUACAUGCCUACAACACAAUGUUAAUGCAUCGGAUCCCAUUAGAACUCCGCAGUUAAGCGUGUUUAGGCUAGCAUAAUACUGGGAUGGGUGACCGCCUGGGAAGUCAUAGUAUUUUACAUU
rfam:Picea glauca, whole genome shotgun sequence.